UACGAAGGGGGCUAGCGUUGCUCGGAAUCACUGGCGUAAAGCGCACGUAGGCGGAUAUUAAGUCAGGGUGAAAUCCCAGAGCUCAACUCUGGAACUGCCUUUGAUACUGGGUAUCUUGAGUAUGGAAGAGGUAAGUGGAAUUGCGAGUGUAGAGGUGAAAUUCGUAGAUAUUCGCAGGAACACCAGUGGCGAAGGCGGCUUACUGGUCCAUAACUGACGCUUGAGGUGCGAAAGCGUGGGAGCAAACAGG
rnacentral:rRNA from 1 species